UCAUAUCUCCUGAAUCUGCUGCUGUUCCACAAAUCUCUUACUUUCCUCUGGAAAAAAAGAGGGAUACCGGAGAAUUUUCUCACCUAAGAUCAGCAUAGUAAGUGGCAAGAAGUAGGAAAAGCAGGCAGGGACUAAAGCUGUAUCAUGGUUUUCUGCUGUGAUGAUUGAGAAAGGCUAAUGCUAAUUGGAGAGUACCUCUUCAUUCACUUAAAAAAAAAACAAAACAAGUUUGUUUUCUUGAUGUGGCUGAGGAAACAAAAGAUUCUAUUUGAAUUCUGAGAGAGGGAACAGAGGGCUGCUCAGCUAGAAGUGGAUCACACACGGGGCUGUGUAGGAAGGAGAAGAAUAAACAGAGAAGAUAGAGCAUGAUACUUCCAAACUCCUUGAUGAUAGAGGGAAGAUAACAUGUGAAGCUCUGAUUGUUCAUGUUCCUGGAAAGAGGAAAAUGAUCGUUCAUCUAGUUCUUCCUCCCUCCUUUGCUAUCAAAUGACAAGAUUGUUGAUUAGCAGAUGUAAUGGACCAAUACUAGUCUGGUUAAUGGACUGCACACUCAUAAUCAGAAUUCACACUUGAAUAAUUACCAUAAGCAAAGUUAAUAUGGCUUCAGGAUAUAAAUACAGAGCUGUAGCAACAGAGCACAGAAGGGAUACUGAGCAACCAGCAGUUGCUUAGAGCAGCUGUUCUGAUUUCCAUCAGUCCUACAGGAAUGCCCUAGCCCGGGGACCUUAGACAAAGUGGCCUACAAGAAAUGAGUCUUCAUCAAGUGUGAAACUCUGGGGAACCAAUCAAAAAUCUGCUGGCUGCCAUCCUUUCCUUGUGUGUGAGACUCAGUAGUAUAUAGCUUAAUAUCACUCAAUAAACUGAGUUCAGCAACACACAUAUAACUCAACAAGAUUCAUUCUAGUAAAUCCAUAAUUUAUUCUGCUCAUUCAUGCCUUUGGAUGACUGUCUUUAUGAUGUCAUAGUCUGAGCAUUAAUCAUAAAAGUAAUCUCCACCAUAGCAGACUGUUUCCCUCUUUAGAGUCUUUUAGAAUUUUCUAUGUUAUUCUAAAAUUUUAGAACAGAAAUGUCAAAUUAUGCAUAUUUUUUUACAUUCAUUCUGCUUGGCAAUUGGUGGGUCUUUUCAAUCUGAAGAAUUUCACCUUUCUUUGGGAAAAAAUAACUUAUAAUUUCAUUGUUUACUCUCUCCUUUUUCUUCUUCUAUCCUUU